CACAGCACAAAACAAUAAAUACCUCAAACACAGACGAUCUCCCAACAACACAUUGAGCCAAACUAUACUAAUAGAUGAACUCAUGCUAAAACUAGUAACCAGAAAUAUUCUCUCAGCACACCUGUAACCCAGAAAUAGAAAAACUACUGGAACUUAACAGACCACAAUAGGCAUAACACAAUAUGUGCCCCCCACUGUUAAACCAACACAGGAGUGCCUCCAAGACAGAUUAAAAGUUAUAAAAGGAACUCAGCAAAACUUGUCCCAACUGUUUACCAAAAACAUAGCCUUUAGCCAACACAAGUAUUGAAGGUCUCGCCUGCCCAGUGAAACAUCUUAAACGGCCGCGGUAUUCUAACCGUGCAAAGGUAGCGUAAUCACUUGUCUUCUAAAUAAAGACCUGUAUGAACGGCUAAAUGAGGACAAACCUGUCUCUUAUAACCAAUCAGUGAAACUGAUCUCCCAAUACAAAAGUUGGGAUACACGCAUAAGACGAGAAGACCCCGUGGAGCUUAAAACAAACUAUCAACCAAACGACCCUGGUAUGCUGUUUUGAGUUGGGGCGACUUCGGAAUAAAACAAAACUUCCGAGCACAGAACCACCACUUCUAACUAAGGCCAACAAGCCUAAGUUUAACCUGACCCGGCCUCACGCCGAUCAACGAACCAAGUUACCCCGGGGAUAACAGCGCUAUCUUCUUCAAGAGUCCCUAUCAACAAGAAGGUUUACGACCUCGAUGUUGGAUCAGGACACCCUAAUGGUGCAGCCGCUAUUAAUGGUUCGUUUGUUCAACGAUUAACAGU
rnacentral:rRNA from 1 species